UACGUAGGGUGCGAGCGUUGCCCGGAUUUAUUGGGCGUAAAGGGCGCGUAGGCGGCCACGCACGUCCGUUGUGAAAUCGCCCGGCUCAACUGGGCGGGUCAGCGGAUACGGUGUGGCUAGAGCAAGCUAGGGGGCAAUGGAAUUCCCGGUGUAGUGGUGGAAUGCGUAGAUAUCGGGAGGAACACCAGUGGCGAAGGCGGUUGCCUGGAGCUUUGCUGACGCUGAUGCGCGAAAGCGUGGGGAGCGAGUCCGG
rnacentral:rRNA from 1 species